ensembl:lncRNA
GUGAGAUAGGCCUAUUGAAGACCGGAAGAAGCUCGCGGAGUAGGGUAACUGCUCUUCCGCUUAGCUUAGCUAAGCUGUUUACCAUGGCGGAGGCAGAUCAAUACCUUUGGACCAAGUCUCUCCAACCUACCUAAAUUGUCCUACGACGACGUCCUAAGGAUAGUAAAUCAGCACUUACGUGUCGAAACAUCUAAACUACGCAAAGGAUAUAAGUUAUUCUGGGAGAAGUACAUUUUUAAUUACAUAGACACAUGACAACCACUUCACAGGGGAGAAAAGCGUGCCAACACCUCUGUCGUGCACCAGUGUUCUGCAGACGUGGACCAAGGACACAGGGGAUUCGCUCCAGGGGAUUCGCCCGGAACCCAUUGACCAACUUGUGGUCAGGAAACCCAAGCACUUUGAGUCUUCCCUUGUGUAUGAAAAGUGCUAAAUAAAGUUGCAUUGCCUAAC